GGGCGCUUAGCUCAGUUGGUAGAGCGGCUGCCUUACAAGCAGAAUCUCGGCGGAUCGAUCCCGUCCGGGCCCCCCC
rnacentral:tRNA from 1 species